GGGCCCGCACAAGCAGUGGAGUAUGUGGUUUAAUUCGAUGCAACGCGAAGAACCUUACCGGGGCUUGACAUCCCGCGAAUGACCGAGAGAUCGGUAGUUCCCUUUUGGGACGCGGAGACAGGUGGUGCAUGGUUGUCGUCAGCUCGUGUCGUGAGAUGUUGGGUUAAGUCCCGCAACGAGCGCAACCCCUAUCGUCGGUUGCCAUCAUUCAGUUGGGCACUUUGACGAGACUGCCGGUGAUAAAUCGGAGGAAGGUGGGGAUGACGUCAAAUCAUCAUGCCCUUUAUGUCCCGGGCUACACACGUACUACAAUGGCUGUUACAACGGGAGGCGAAGCCGCGAGGCGGAGCGAAUCCCAAAAAGGCAGCCCCAGUUCGGAUUGCAGGCUGCAACUCGCCUGCAUGAAGUCGGAAUUGCUAGUAAUGGCAGGUCAGCAUACUGCCGUGAAUACGUUCCCGGGCCUU
rnacentral:rRNA from 1 species